rnacentral:rRNA from 1 species
UACGUAGGGACCGAGCGUUGUCCGGAAUCAUUGGGCGUAAAGAGCGUGUAGGCGGCCCCUUAAGUCCUGCGUGAAAUCCUGCGGCUCAACCGCAGACGGUCGUGGGAAACUGGAGGGCUAGAGUGCGGGAGAGGAGAGUGGAAUUCCCGGUGUAGCGGUGAAAUGCGCAGAUAUCGGGAAGAACACCAGUGGCGAAGGCGGCUCACUGGUCCGGUACUGACGCUGAGGUGCGAAAGCGUGGGGAGCAAACAGG